rnacentral:rRNA from 1 species
AUUGAACGCUAACGGCGUGCUUAACACAUGCAAGUCGAACGGCAGCACAGUAUGUAGCAAUACAUAUGGGUGGCGAGUGGCGGACGGGUGAGUAAUACGUAGGAAUCUACCUUGUAGUGGGGGAUAACCCGGGGAAACUCGGGCUAAUACCGCAUAAUCUUUACGAAGCAAAGAGGGCCUCUGAAUAUGCUCUUGCUAAAAGAUGAGCCUACGUCGGAUUAGCUAGUUGGUGGGGUAAAGGCCUACCACGGCGACGAUCCGUAGCUGGUCUGAGAGGAUGAUCAGCCACACUGUGACUGAGACACGGCCCAGACUCCGACGGGAGGGAGCAGUGGGGAAUAUUGGACAAUGGGCGAAAGCCUGAUCCAGCAACGCCGUGUGUGUGAAGAAGGCCUUAGGGUUGUAAAGCACUUUCAGUGGGGAAGAAAAGUUCAAGGCUAAUACCCUUGAAUCUUGACGUUACCCACAGAAGAAGCACUGGCUAACUCUGUGCCAGCCGCCGCGGUAA